rnacentral:rRNA from 1 species
UACGGGGGGGGCGAGCGUUGUUCGGAAUUUCUGGGCGUAAAGGGUUUGUAGGUGGCCUGCUAAGUCAGACGUGAAAUCCCUCAGCUUAACUGGGGAACUGCGUCUGAUACUGGCGGGCUUGAGGACAGGAGAGGAACGCGGAAUUCCAGGUGUAGCGGUGAAAUGCGUAGAUAUCUGGAGGAACACCGGUGGCGAAGGCGGCGUUCUGGACUGUUUCUGACACUGAAAAACGAAAGCCAGGGGAGCAAACGGG